rnacentral:rRNA from 1 species
AAUAGAUACCCAGGUAGUCCACGCCGUAAACGAUGUCGACUUGGAGGUUGUUCCCUUGAGGAGUGGCUUCCGGAGCUAACGCGUUAAGUCGACCGCCUGGGGAGUACGGCCGCAAGGUUAAAACUCAAAUGAAUUGACGGGGGCCCGCACAAGCGGUGGAGCAUGUGGUUUAAUUCGAUGCAACGCGAAGAACCUUACCUGGUCUUGACAUCCACAGAAUUCUGCAGAGAUGCGGAAGUGCCUUCGGGUACUGUGAGACAGGUGCUGCAUGGCUGUCGUCAGCUCGUGUUGUGAAAUGUUGGGUUAAGUCCCGCAACGAGCGCAACCCUUAUCCUUUGUUGCCAGCGGCUAGGCCGGGAACUCAAAGGAGACUGCCAGUGAUAAACUGGAGGAAGGUGGGGAUGACGUCAAGUCAUCAUGGCCCUUACGACCAGGGCUACACACGUGCUACAAUGGCAUAUACAAAGAGAAGCGACCUCGCGAGAGCAAGCGGACCUCAUAAAGUAUGUCGUAGUCCGGAUCGG